GGAAGGGAUCCGCUCCCGGUGGGGCGGCCGGCCUUCAAAGCCGGUGGGGGACGCCAGGCGUUCCCGGGUGGGUUCGACUCCCAUUCCCUUCCGCCA
rnacentral:tRNA from 1 species